CCAUUGCUUUCCUUACCUCUCUUCCUUUUCCAUUGCUUUCCUUAACUCUCCCCUUCUUUUCCAUUGCUUUCCUUACCUCUCUUCCUUUUCCAUUGCUUUCGUUAACUCUCCCCUUUUAUUUCCAUUGCUUUCCUUACCUCUCUUCCUUUCCCAUUGCUUUCCUUAACUCUCCCCUUCUUUUCCAUUGCUUUCCUUACCUCUCUUCCUUUUCCAUUGCUUUCGUUAACGCUCGCCUUCAUUUCCAUUGCUUUCCUUACCUCUCUUCCUUUUCCAUUACUUUCUUUAACUCUCCCCUUCUUUUCCAUUGCUUUCCUUACUUCUCUUCCUUUUCCAUUGCUUUCGUUAACUCUCCCCUUCUUUUCCAUUGCUUUCCUUACCUCUCUUCCUUUUCCAUUGCUUUCGUUAACUCUCCCCUUCAUUUCCAUUGCUCUCCUUACCUCUUUUCCAUUGCUUUUGUUAACUUUCCCCUUCUUUUCCAUUGCUUUCCUUACCUCUCUUCUUUUUCCAUUGCUUUUGUUAACUCUCCCCUUCAUUUCCAUUGCUUUCCUUACCUCCCCUUCUUUUCCAUUGCUGGAAUGUUUUGGUGCUGUUUAAAGACAGCCAAAGCAUGACAAUGAACACCUUUAUCACCAUGAUGCUAUGCUAUAUUAAGACAGACCUAAAUACUAGACUUGCAUGAUUGUUUUCAAAUGAAUUGCAAUUCAUCCAAAUUUUGGGUGAUUGAUGAUUUAUCUCCUGAACUAUGACCAAACCAUGAAGCAAUGCAGAAAAUCCAUUAUGUUUGUUCUCUGAUUUAGUGUACCAUCCAUGGUGCCAAAACACGAUGAUUGAUGCAAAAAAAAAAGGUUUUUGAUGGUCAAGGGGCAGUUGCUAAAUUUAAUUUUAUUCACAGAUCAAGUAGAAGUGUCGAAUAGAGUGGAAAAAGGAG